GAUGCGGCUGGUGCGCAGUAGCGGGCCUGGCCAGCGGCUCGGGGCUUGCAGGGAGGGCGGAUCUCGGGUCGGACCCGCAGCCCCAGACGCCGGGCUUGGGGGUUCCCCCCGCCCCGGCCUCCUGCCAGUCACUACCACCCCUAGCCUCUCCAACUGAGCUCGGCGCCGGGAGAGGAUUAAACUACUCUGCCCUCCCAGGGCCCACUGCAGAGACCCAGCCGGCUGGUGUUUACCGAUGUGGCCAAUGCCAUCCAUGCGUGAGUGGCCUGGGACAAGCCUGGACUUCUGAUAGAGACCCAUCACGGUGCCUACAGAGCUCCCCACUCCCUGAUUGUCAAGACCUACUCUGAAGAUCUUCCCUGCCAAGACACAAGAGGGCUGAGCCAGGUCCUAGCUGUUCUCCAGACCCACCUGCUGACUUUAGACUCUAAGAGAGGGCCCUAGCCAGGCUGGACUUCUGACCACUGACUUCUCCUGACCUGAGGGCCCUGGCACAGAGGGCAUCCCUCAUGCUGAGAAGGUCAAGAGCCUCUGCUGGCUUCCUCAUCCCCUGUCCAGAUCCCUCACAUCAGGGUCUGCCCCGCUAAUGUGGAGGAAAUGAGGGAGAUACGGAGUGGGAGGGAUUGGGGGAGGAAAGG
rnacentral:lncRNA from 1 species